rnacentral:rRNA from 1 species
AACGUACGCUGGCGGCACGCCUAACACAUGCAAGUCGAACGCAGUAGCAAUACUGAGUGGCAGACGGGUGAGUAACAUGUGGGAAUCUGCCUUGUGGUNCAGGACAACAUUGGGAAACCGAUGCUAAUACUGGAUAAGCCUUACGGGGAAAGUUUUAAUGCCAUAAGAUGAGCCCGCAUUUGAUUAGUUAGUUGGUGAGGUAAUGGCUCACCAAGACAAUGAUCAAUAGCUGAUCUGAGAGGAUGAUCAGCCACACUGGGACUGAGACACGGCCCAGACUCCUACGGGAGGCAGCAGUGGGGANUCUUGCACAAUGGAGGAAACUCUGAUGCAGCGAUGCCGCGUGAGUGAAGAAGCCUUUGGGUUGUAAAGCUCUUUUGUAGGGGAAGAUAAUGACUGUA